AUUGAACGCUGGCGGCAUGCCUUACACAUGCAAGUCGAACGGCAGCACGGGAGCUUGCUCCUGGUGGCGAGUGGCGAACGGGUGAGUAAUAUAUCGGAACGUACCCUAGAGUGGGGAUAACGCAGCGAAAGUUGCGCUAAUACCGCAUACGAUCUACGGAUGAAAGUGGGGGAUCGCAAGACCUCAUGCUCAUGGAGCGGCCGAUAUCUGAUUAGCUAGUUGGUGGGGUAAAGGCCUACCAAGGCAUCGAUCAGUAGCUGGUCUGAGAGGACGACCAGCCACACUGGAACUGAGGCACGGUCCAGACUCCUACGGGAGGCAGCAGUGGGGAAUUUUUGGGACAAUGGGGGCAACCCUGAUCCAGCAAUGCCGCGUGAGUGAAGAAGGCUCGG
rnacentral:rRNA from 1 species